CCCAGACUCCUACGGGAGGCAGCAGUGGGGAAUAUUGCACAAUGGGGGAAACCCUGAUGCAGCGACGCCGCGUGAGCGAAGAAGUAUUUCGGUAUGUAAAGCUCUAUCAGCAGGGAAGAAAUUGACGGUACCUGAGUAAGAAGCUCCGGCUAAAUACGUGCCAGCAGCCGCGGUAAUACGUAUGGAGCAAGCGUUAUCCGGAUUUACUGGGUGUAAAGGGAGCGUAGGCGGCCUGCCAAGUCUGAUGUGAAAUACCGGGGCUCAACCCCGGGGCUGCAUUGGAAACUGACAGGCUGGAGUGUCGGAGAGGCAGGCGGAAUUCCUAGUGUAGCGGUGAAAUGCGUAGAUAUCAGGAGGAACACCGGUGGCGAAGGCGACCUGCUGGACUGCAACUGACGUUGAGGCCCGAAAGCGUGGGGAGCAAACAGGAUUAGAUACCCUAGUAG
rnacentral:rRNA from 1 species